rnacentral:tRNA from 1 species
UAAACAGAAGCCAAUACCGGGCGCCUAGCUGUUAAUUAGGAAGUUGUAAAUAUUUUACCUGUUUAG